rnacentral:rRNA from 1 species
UACGGAGGGGGCGAGCGUUAUUCGGAAUUAUUGGGCGUAAAGGGCGCGCAGGCGGCCCGGAAAGUCGGAUGUGGAAACUCGGGGCUCAACCCCGAGCGUGCACCCGAUACUGCCGGGCUUGAGGCAGGUAGGGGAGAUCGGAAUUCCUGGUGUAGCGGUGAAAUGCGCAGAUAUCAGGAGGAACACCGGUGGCGAAGGCGGAUCUCUGGGCCUGUCCUGACGCUGAGGCGCGAAAGCUAGGGGAGCGAACAGG